rnacentral:rRNA from 1 species
UACGUAGGAUCCAAGCGUUGUCCGGAUUUACUGGGUGUAAAGGGUGCGCAGGCGGACUGGUUAGUCUGGGGUGAAAUCUCAUCGCUUAACGGUGAAACUGCCUUAGAUACUGCCAGUCUUGAAUCAGCGAGAGGUUCGUGGAAUUCCGAGUGUAGCAGUGAAAUGUGUAGAUAUUCGGAAGAACACCAGUGGCGAAGGCAGCGAACUGGCGCUCGAUUGACGCUCAGGCACGAAAGCAUGGGGAUCAAACAG